AACGAACGCUGGCGGCAGGCCUAACACAUGCAAGUCGAACGCCGUAGCAAUACGGAGUGGCAGACGGGUGAGUAACGCGUGGGAACAUACCCUUCGGUUCGGAAUAACUCAGGGAAACUUGUGCUAAUACCGGAUACGUCCGAGGUAAAACUUGGAGAAAGAUUUAUCGCCGGAGGAUUGGCCCGCGUCUGAUUAGCUUGUUGGUGAGGUAAUGGCUCACCAAGGCGACGAUCAGAGCUGGUCUGAGAGGAUGAUCAGCCACAUUGGGACUGAGACACGGCCCAAACUCCUACGGGAGGCAGCAGUGGGGAAUAUUGGACAAUGGGCGCAAGCCUGAUCCAGCGAUGCCGCGUGUGUGAAGAA
rnacentral:rRNA from 1 species